UACUGGGUGACCCUAUUUUUCUCUCAAAACAAGGACACAGGAAGCAGGUUUAGCUGCUCCUAGACGCCUCAGAGAGCAGAGCUCCCUCCAUUAUCUACAGCAGCCGUCCCACCUAAUUCGCUGUUGCCCACGAGCCCGUUUCUUCGAGGUUGCAGGUGGCUGCUACGAAAACGGGCACCGUGUUGGCAUUUGGGCAGGGAGAAAGGGAGGUGGGGAGGGACUGCGCCGGCACAGCGUCCCCUCUUACAGGAAAGCAGACACUUUCCCGGAAACCCCCUUGGCACACAGCACGUCUUGGACAGACUGGGUCACACGACCUCCCCUGGCUGAAGGGGCGCUCGGAGAUCCGGCGCGAGGACCAAGGACUGCCAUGGACGAGUACGACCCCUCACCUGGGGCUGGGCGUGCCGCUGUUACAAGCAAAGGUAGACCCAGCUUUAAGAUGAACUAGACAAGGACGUUUUGCCAGUGAACACUUCAGAGUAAUUGUCAUGGGCACCACUGAAGAGCAAAUAAAAGAUGAGCCUUCUUCCAAGUAAUCUAGAUUCCGAAUGUGCAACGAACUAUCCCCU